AGAGUUUGAUCCUGGCUCAGGAUGAACGUUGGUAGUAUAUCUAACACAAUCGAGUCGAACGGCAGCACAGUUUUAGGUAACUAGAAUNGGUGGCGAGUGGCGAACGGGUGAGUAAUGCUUAUCUACUUGCCGAUUAGUGGGGGUAAUCCCGCAUGUGCUGGCUUUUUGUCAGGAAAGGAAGUCGUAAGACUUUCGCUAAUUGAGAGGGAUAAGUCGUAUCGCNAAGUUAGUUGGNGGGGUAAUGGCCUACCAAGACGAUGAUGCGUAGCCGGCCUGAGAGGGUGAACGGCCACAGGGGAACUGAGACAAGGUCCCCACUCCUACGGGAGUCAGAAGUGGNGAAUCUGCCGCAAUGGACGAAAGUCUGACGGAGUAAUACUACGUGAAGGAAGAAGGUCGAUAGAUUGUAAACUUCUUUUGGGACAGGUUAGGCUGUCCAGAAUAAGCCACGACUAACUAUGUGCCAGCAGUCGCGGUAAGACAUAGGUGGCAAACGUUAUCCGGAAUUAUUGGGCGUAAAGGGUGCGUAGAUGGUCGAGUAAGUUAACAGUGGGAAAUCANGGCUCAACCUUGUGGAAGUUGUUAAGACUGCCCGGCUAGAGGACCGGAGGGGUUAACGGAACCCUUAUGGAGGGGUAAAAUCCGACGAUAUAAGCGGGAACGCCAAUAACAGCGAAGGCAGUUGACUAUUCGGUUCCUGACAUUGAGGCACGAAAGCGUGGGGAGCAAAACGGAUUAGAUACCCGUGUAGUCCACGCCCUAAACGAUGAGUGCUAGAUAUUGGGCUUUUUGCUCAGUGUCGCUAGGUAACCCGGUAAGCACUCCGCCUGGGUAGUAAGCUCGCAAGAGUGAAACUCAAAGGAAUUGACGGGGACUCGCACAAGCAGUGGAGCAUGUGGUUUAAUCCGAAGCAACGCGUAGAACCUUACCAAGACUUGACAUGUAAGGUAGCAAUACUAAACUAGGGAAACCUAGUUGAAUUACACAGGUGCUGCAUGGCCGUCGUCAGUUCGUGCCGUGAGGUGUAUGGUUAAGUCCUAUAACGAACGCAACCCUUAUCCUUAGUUACCAGCGGGUAAAGCCGGGGACUCUAAGGAGACUGCAAGGCGUGCUUAGCAUGCCUGAACUGAGUAAUCAGGAGGAAGGUGAGGAUGACGUCUGGUCGUCAUGGCCCUUAUGUCUUGGGCGACACACGUGCUACAAUGGUUAGGACAAAGGGUAGCCAACCCGUGAGGGGGAGCCAAUCCCAAAAAACUAACCUCAGUUCAGAUCGAAGGCUGCAACUCGCCUUCGUGAAGUUGUGAAUUGCUAGUAAUCGUGAAUCAGCCAUGUCACGGUGAAUACGUUCUCGAGUCUUGUACACACCGCCCGUCAAGUCACGAAAGCCGGUAAUACUGCGAAACCAACCAAUCAAAUGGUUGACGAGGGUAGGAUUGGUGAUUGGGGCUAAGUCGUAACAAGGUAUCCGUAGGGGAAUCUGCGGAUG
rnacentral:rRNA from 1 species